UACGGAGGGUGCAAGCGUUAUCCGGAUUUACUGGGUUUAAAGGGUGCGUAGGUGGGUAAGUAAGUCAGUGGUGAAAUCUUCGAGCUUAACUCGGAAACUGCCAUUGAUACUAUUUAUCUUGAAUACUUUGGAGGUAAGCGGAAUAUGUCAUGUAGCGGUGAAAUGCUUAGAUAUGACAUAGAACACCAAUUGCGAAGGCAGCUCACUAAGCAAAUAUUGACGCUGAGGCACGAAAGCGUGGGGAUCAAACAGG
rnacentral:rRNA from 1 species